CGACAAUGAGGCCGUACAGGGCAAGGGCUUCGGCAAAGAUGAGGAUGAGGAUCAUUCCGACGAACAGCUUGGGCUGCUGUGCGUUGGCCCUGCAGAGGAGGUAAAACAACAGAAUCAAAUCAGUACUUCAACAACUUCCAGACAAAAAGGUUGUUGUCCAUAGAAAGAUUGAUCUACCACUACCAGAAGGUACAUCCUAAUAAUAACAAAAGAGCAAAACCUAAUAAAACAUAUUGACAACCGAAAGAAAUAAAAAGUGAGCCACUGGCUACAACACGAUUGUACCGAUUCCCCCCUCCAGAACAUACCUGGUGUUCAACAAAGCUCAAAGUGCAAGGAAAACAGGAGUAAUAGAAGAUUCAGAAUGCAACCCUUGAUGAAUUUAUUAAAGCAGGGCCACUGGGGAAUCUAGUUAAGUGACAAGCAAAACCCUGUGUGAUGCAUGCAAACUAAAAUAACAUGACUUGUCAUAACUGAGACCAGAGGAUGGUCAUGGUAGUCAAAGCAGAUAUGGCCAGUGUCUCCAAAUAGAAGAAACCAGAAGUGUAACGCGGCCGUAACUCUUUAGGGCGCUUAAUCAAGGACUUCUGAUUAUGAGAAGUUAGCCCACAUCAGAAAGCCUCUCCAAAUACACUAACUAAAUCACCACUUCCAUGUUUGCUUUCAGAUUUGCACAUUUUCAAUCUCUAGGAACCUUGGACAAACAGUAUGCUAUCUGGAGGUCCUAAUGCAGGCCAAAUUCAGAGUGUAAUCAGCAUGGAACCAUUAUUUUGAUUUAUUCACAAUACUAGAAUUCAUUCAUGCCUCACUGACAUGACAUUAUCCAGUAGGUGUGGUUUGACAAGUGAGGCAGCAAUGGUUUCAUAUGUAAACUCAGAUCAAGCAUGUCCCAAGUAAGAGCACAGAAUCAAGUAGCAUGAUUUGCUUCCCUGCUGUACCCAUCCUCGUCAGAUUUAUGCUAGAGUAAGUUCUCAGUACCAAGUAGCACAAGAUUUACAUUGCGUACUCCCACGCAUUGGACAAACCUCGGAAAGGAGGGAGGGAGAAUAUAUGUGCGUAGGGGUAUACCUGACGCCGGCGUCGCCGACGAUGCCGAUGGCCAUGCCGGCGGCGAGGCCGGCGAGGCCGCAGGCGAGGCCGGAGGAGAGGUGGGCGUAGCCGUCGAAGAGGAAGUAGGGCUUGGCCUUGGGGUUGAUCCCGGUGGAGAUGAUGACGGCGAUGAUGAGGCCGUAGAUCCCGAGCACCCCGGCCAUGACGACGGGCACGAUGGACUUCAUCACCAGCUCCGGCCGCAUCACCCCCAUCGACGCCACCCCCACCCCGC
rnacentral:lncRNA from 1 species